UGUUCCUCAAAGGUGGGCUCCCCGGCAGCACGGUGUCAGAGGGACACCCGUCCGCCGUCUACCGACGGCCCCGAGGUCAGGGGCUGCCCAGCCCCCCGCAGCCCGGUCGGUGGUGGCCACGCAUGUGCCGGGUGGCUGGCCCGCUGAGCUUGCCUGGCACCAGGCGCCCGGACAGCGUGCUCCUGGGCCUCGCCUGGGCCUGGGCCAGCCGACCCGCUGCUUCCGCUGGCCGCCGGGCGCUCCUCCGCUCCAGGCUUGCUCUGUCACCGCCCGCGUCCUCCUGGGCCCGGCGUCCGGCGGAGCUGCCCGCAGGCGUCGCCCGCUCUCCUGUCUCCGCAGGGCCCGCUGCUGCGCUGGCUCAAGGUGAACUUCAGCGAAGCCUUCGUCGCCUGGAUCCACCUCAAGGCGCUGCGGGUGUUUGUGGAGUCCGUGCUCAGGUACGGACUGCCCGUGAACUUCCAGGCGGUGCUCCUCCAGCCUCAUAAGAAGUCAUCCACCAAACGACUAAGGGAGGUUCUGAACUCCGUCUUCAGACACCUGGACCAAGUAGCGGCCGCAAGCAUACUGGAUGUAGGUGGAGAACCCAGAGAUAGCCGGGUUUCUGCACGGGGUCAGCCUCUCCGUGUGGGAGGCACUUUCCCAAAAUGGAAACUGCCAGACUGUUGAGAUGAUCUACGUUUCACAAAUGCGCAAGCGUAACAGGGAAGAGGCCGUGUGUGUGUGUGUGUGUGUGUGUGUGUGUGUGUGUGUGUGGCGGGGGUGUGCUGUGCAGAAAAUACGGUAGGGCCUAGAGAGCCGCCUCGAAAACAGAGACGAGACAGCAUAUUGGUUUCUGCAUUUAAAGCGCCAACAGGACGUCGUCUUUUGCAGGCAUCUGUGGAGAUCCCUGGACUGCAACUCAGCAACCAAGACUACUUUCCCUAUGUCUACUUCCACAUCGACCUCAGUCUCCUGGACUAGAGAGAGGAGCUGCCGCCAUCGCGCUCCUCUCUUCACUCAGGCUCCUGCAGACACCUCUCUCCCUCAGCCAGAGAACCCUACAGAACUUAGAUUUUUAGAGAAAUUGCUCACAAAAGUUAGUUACAGUUGUAUUUAUUUUUUUUAAGUUACAAUAAAGAAAUGCUCAGUCCCUUGGAUUGUCUCUUC
rnacentral:lncRNA from 1 species